rnacentral:lncRNA from 1 species
CUUCAUCUCCCCGGUGUAGAUGGUAGAUCUGAUCUUCAUCAUCCUUAAGACGCUGUAUCUACCUCUCCAGGUGCUCAUAAACUCGCUGCCCAUCUAGCCAAGUGUCACCAUCCUUAUAGCUCAGACAGACUUCCAGAGUGCUCAGAGCCAACCCUAGCUCUUGUUCACAGCCUUUGCUGGACUGUUCAUGGAAUUAUUAUCCAACCAACAGCUCCUGAGUUCUCAAUAUGUGAGGCACAGUCAGAACAGAGGCACCCUGUUCACCUCUGAGAAGACCUGGACUCCUAGUACAGGGACAAAGGCUCAAUAAACUCUGAGGCUAGA